CCUCCAGUUUUCACUUUGUUUUGCCUCCAGCUAGCGCCGUGACGUAACUGUGACGUCGGCGCAAAAGGGGUAAAGGCGGAAAACAGACGGAACAAGAGUAUUUAAUUGCUCUAGUCUAGAAAGAAACGAUGGUGUCAUCAUUAAGGAAUUAUACGGUCAUUAUAAUUUAAAUUAACCGACAGUAGUUUGUGUUUUAUUUUUUAUUCCUGACUGGAGAACAAACUUGUUUUGAGUCGCGCGCAGACUCAAAAAGUGGCGCGAGCAGCUCGCGGAAAGGUGAAGCCGUGUUUAUGUGGACGACGACAAUUACUGAAUAUGAAGCCUUCAAAUGAUGAUAAACAGCUCAUAUCUCCAUCUCGGAUUUCACGUUACAAAGAGCCGAACAGUUCUCACCACAUCAGCACACACUGGUGGCACAUUUUCCUUCUGCUUCCCACUGUGACUCCGGACUUCAUUGUCUGCUGGUUCACUCUACCAGGAACACAAAAAGGUUAAAGGAGAGAAGUUUGGCUUUGAUGAGAGCAGAGAGCUCGAAGCCUGUAGCGAUCAUGUGGAUGUUCAUCUCAUGACAUCAGCCCCCCAGUGAGAACAGCAGACUUUACAUGAGAGCGACCUCAUCCCAGUCUAGUGAUGGAAAUGUCUUUUGAGAGGUAGAGGAGUUUGGGUUUAACCCAAACAUGAACUAUGUGGCUUUGCAUGAGGGAAAAAAUAAUAAGUCAAUUAAUUUGAGAACUGCUGCAACCAGAUCAUUGAGUCUUUUAACACAUUUAUUUUCCAUGAACUGGCUGAUCGGACGAAACAAUUCAAUGAGUCACAAGCAGUGUUGGGUAAUGCAUUACUAGGUCAUUAAUUACUGUAAUUUAAUUAGGGAUUACUCUUAAUUUUACUGUAAUUUAAUUUACUUCUGAUGUAAUUGCAUUAAAUACUGUAUCGGCUAUAGAGAAUCAUUCUAAAUAAACCAUUUUAACAUCUAA